rfam:Trichobilharzia regenti genome assembly, scaffold: TRE_scaffold0009096
AUUCAGAUGAUGAGUCCCAAAUAGGACGAAAUGUGCAUCUUGGUGGAU